UACGUAGGCAGCAAGCGUUGUUCGGAGUUACUGGGCGUAAAGGGUGUGUAGGCGGUUCUUUAAGUUUGGUGUGAAAUCUCCCGGCUCAACCGGGAGGGUGCGCCGAAAACUGAAGGGCUAGAGUGCGGGAGAGGAGAGUGGAAUUCCUGGUGUAGCGGUGAAAUGCGUAGAUAUCAGGAGGAACACCGGUGGUGUAAACGGCUCUCUGGACCGCCACUGACGCUGAGACACGAAAGCGUGGGUAGCAAACAGG
rnacentral:rRNA from 1 species